GAUGUCAACCACGGGAGUCCGGUGUGCCGGGCUGAGAGGAAGCGGAUCGCGCUUCGACCGUCGAACCUGAUCUGGGUCAUGCCAGCGCAGGAAGGGAGUAUUUCGUGCAU
rnacentral:ncRNA from 1 species